rnacentral:lncRNA from 1 species
AAUUUGAAUAAUAAAGUGUUACUACAAACAACAAAAUUUAAAAUUAACUAUCACUUUCUCUCUCUUUCUUUAUCGAUUUCUGUCACAAACAGGGCGAUCUGGGUGGAUGAGGUGAGAACUUGGGAAUUGAUUAUCAAGCAUCUGCAACAAAAACCUAAUUUCUAACCAAACAUGACAAUCCACGUUUUUCAAGGUUUUCGUAUCGCUUUCUAACCUUUCCAACUAACCUUUUUUCUUUCUUUCUAUAUUUAGUGUUUCUGUAUUCAAUGUUUGUCUUGUCAUGGAUCUGCAAUUUUCACUUUACCUAUGUUUUACUAACCCUGAAAUCGAACUAGAUCUAAUUCAUAUGCUGUUGAGUUGCUCAGGAAAUUCGGGAUCUCGCCAAUUACUCUAUCGAUUUAUGGCUUUUGGAUAAUUUUCAUGAGAGUUAACUUCAACAUAGCUCCUUUUAUCCAUGAGAGAGAGGGGGAGAAAGUUGUUAAAACUGGAAAGGUCUAUAUAAAACCCUAAACCGUUGAAUAUGGGCUAGCUUUUGCAAAUUUGGUGUUGGAUAAUUUUCACUUUGCAGAAAUGGGUUUUUGUUAGAUGUUGAUUGGUAAGUACAGAAGGUUUGUUUGAAAACUUGUUUCUUAAAAGCAAGUUUGUUAUGAAACUUAGUAUGAAAUUUUCAACCCUGUACAGAGUUUUUUUUGUUAGUUUAAUAGAUGAGUUUUAUAUUAUCAACUGAUUCUAAAUUAUUAUUGGUUAUAACUUUUGAGUUAUUAUUAUGAAAAUUAAUAAACUUAUUAUACAUGACAUUUAAAUUUAUCUAUGCAUAUUACUUUUUUUAACUUAAAAGUUCAAUGUUUGUUUUGUCAAAAUCACCUUUCUCUUUUGCAAACUGGAAUUUUUCGGCCGUGCUACAUAAAUCCCAACAUGUUAGAUGUCUGAGUUUGUUCAUGCUAGGUAUUUUCUGCUUCUUCAGAUGACGAACAUUGAGUUUCUACUGCCCCCUAGUUUUUUUAUUUAUAGAUGGAUCUUUAUGAUUUCAAUGAGUGAAUUCAAAUAUUGGAUAUUGGCUGGUUGAUGUUUGACAUAUGAUUGUUUGUUGUUGCGUGCUAUCUUCCCGUCCCUUAACAAUCAAUAUGAGUAUCUGCUUAACAUGGCUGUAUGGUAUUGAUUGUUAGAUGAUACUCAUACUGCUGUCAUUAAAUAGCGUUAUUCAUGUCGCUUCAUGUGCUGGGUCGCCUACUAAAUGUCAUGGUAGCAAAUAAACUGUAUAGCGUAUGUAUACUGUGGAAAAUCCAACUUAGAAAGUCAUGAUGACCCAAGAUAAUAUGAAGUAAAAAAAGUUAGGAUUUCCUUUAUCUUGAAAUCCAGAUUGAUUUGAGUGAUAAAAGUUGUUUUAAAUGCCUAUCCAGAACAUGAUUUUCUGCUUCCGUGUCUCACCGUAUUAUCUAGGAAAGAUAUGAAGUUCUGAAAAGUUGAAUAUAUAUGCUCCUAGACAACAUGCCUAGUUGAAAACAAAUGUAGUUCUUUCUGUUGAUUUAAGAAAUUUUAAUUGAUGGGUGAAACUUAAUAAGAAAAAAAUGCAAGUGAAAUAUGUUGCCAUAUAGCUGGAGGCAACAUUUGGGUAAGAAUAGACAGUUGAGUUUGGGACCAUUUGGUGAGUGGUGGGUAAUAGCAGCUCAGAGUUUUAAAGUUUUCCCGUAUAUGCUUUUACUGUAUUCUUUAGUUAUAUGAAAAUAUCAAACUCAAGGGUAGUCCACUACUUAGUGUCUAGCCGAAUGGAUGCUGAAGUUCUAUUCUCUAACCCUAUGGGCUACAAACAUGCAAUAGCUACAUGGCCUUUUAAAUCACUCUGAGAAUGAUUUAGAUAACUCUGAUUGUUGAAAUUCUCUACCUCUUAUUCUUUGUGAUUUGAGAAUUUUCUUGGCAAUUAUUUUCCUUGAGGUCUAGAUGCUCUCUGCUGACAAAAGCUCUCACUCUCACUAUAUUAGUUAUAAUAGUGCCGAAUAUUUUGGGGGUAAUGAUGAGCUCUGGAUGGAUAAGUAUAUAUAAGGAAAUUAACUAACAGUUGGAAGAAGGCAGGUUCAAUUUCAAGACAUUGAACAAUUCUCGGCUUUAGAAGUCAUAAUAAGAACCUUCUAGUUUUGGUUACUCUUCUUCUACUUUUAAAGUGCAUCAUGAACUUUAUGUACUUUAAUUUAAGGGUCUGUACGCCCCUAUUUUGUUUACUUUAGAGACAAACUUUAGAGGGGGGUUCUGCUGUAAAGAAGCUACGGCGAUUCCAAAGAUGGAAAACCUUUCUUUAUCUUUCGAUGACAGAAACAUGGAAUCCAUGGAUGAAGUUCUUUAGUUAGUCUUAGUAAAUAUAAAAAAGGAACAGCCAGUAUGAAAGUAGGGGUUUCCUGGCUUUACUUGUCUCUAAGCUAGCUUAUGCUGCCCAUGAGACUAUUUUGUCUCUGGCAUCAAUUAUACCUCAAUUGACAAUUAGAUUGUGUAUACUAUGACUUGUUAAUAUCAACAUGGAAGAGAUGACAAGUUAGGAGCCAUGAUGGUAUAACAGCUUCCCCCCUCUACCCUAAAGAAGCUCCACCACUAAGCCAGUGUUUCUAAACAGUAAUUGCGACCACAAGAUUAAUUAUUCUCAACCAUUGCUGUUUAUACAAUCAAUGGCUAAUUUAACAGAGUCAACAAUUCAAGCUUACCUCAUAUGUUUGCAUACUCAAAUUUUGAAUGCAUUACCUCAAAUGCUAAUUCUCCUGAAAGCAAAUCAAUCAUUUGUUUACACGAGAAGAAGAAUAGUACUAGUAGUCAUUUACACCUAUCACACAUCACCUCAAAUACUUAUAAUAUAGCAACUAACGUACCUAUUUAACCAAUAAUUACACAACCAGCUAACUUUAGCAUUGGUAGUUAAAUAUGGGUAGAUUAACUAAGUUUGAUAGCUGGCAAAUCAGAGUGAUGUAUUGGGAAAUGUUUGAGUAGUUUUAUUUACGAAAAAGUAAUGGAUAAAAGCUCUUGUUAAUCAUUCAGAGUUAAAGAAACAGUGGACAGCCUAUUAUGUAUUAGCCGUGCAAGCGUACACUAAAAGUUAGUUUGACAAUGUAGAAGUACUACAGUUGAAGUAACAAUGGAAGGUUUUCAUGCACUUCAAAGAAAAUUAAAUGUGCAACAUCUAUAUUUCUGUUCUCCUUUUUAUCUAAGCAAUAAAAUUACUUUCCUCUCUUCUGGUCACUUCUUCCAUGGUUUCAAAACAGCGAGUACGAUGAUGAGGGCGAUGGCCAGGAGCAAU